rnacentral:rRNA from 1 species
AGGUACUCCGGGGAUAACAGGCUUAUCUCCCCUGAGCGUUCAUAGCGGCGGGGAGGUUUGGCACCUCGAUGUCGGCUCAUCGCAUCCUGGGGGUGGAGAAGCUCCCAAGGGUUUGGCUGUUCGCCAAUGAAAGCGGUACGUGAGCUGGGUUCAGACCGUCGUGAGACAGGUCGGUCCCUAUCUGUCGUGGGCGUAGGAGAUUUGCGCAGUUUUCUCCCUAGUACGAGAGGAUUGGGAGGGACGCACCUCUGGUGUCCCUGUUGUCACGCCAGUGGCAUGGCAGGUUAGCUAAGUGCGGCCAGGAUAAACGCUGAAAGCAUCUAAGCGUGAAACCUUCUGCAAGAAUAGAUCUCCAGUCGUAAGACAGAGGCUCCUGGUAGACCACCAGGUCGAUAGGCCGGGCGUGUAAGGCGAGUAAUCGUCUAAGCUUACCGGUACUAACAGCCUAAUGCUUGUACGC